GGAUCACGUCACUCCUGAGGCGAAGCCAGUCAGAACCUGCAGCAUGCCAUACCACGGGGUUUGGGUCCGGUUCCUUGGUAGGGGCUAAGGCCUGGGCAUUGGGAACAUUCACGCGCACCCCGAAAGGGACUCAAGAUUUUUCCAUAUAUCUUUUAUACAAGACCUGCACUAUGUUUGAAGUAUCUGCUCAUUCACAGGAUGAUCAUAGGAACCUAGGAUUACAGCUGGAACAGACCUGAGAGGUCAUUCAUCUACUACAAACCCCAUUAUUUUGUUUUGGUUUUUAAUAUUAUCAUAGAUAAAUGUGAGGUAUCAAGAAAAGAAAUUUAAACCUUUAACAAUUAAAAAAAGUUCUCACAAACU